rnacentral:rRNA from 1 species
GAUGAACGCUGGCGGCGUGCUUAACACAUGCAAGUCGAACGGGAUCCAAGGGGUGCUUGCACUUUUUGGUGAGAGUGGCGAACGGGUGAGUAACACGUGAGUAACCUGUCCUUUUCUUUGGGAUAAGCAUUCGAAAGGGUGUUUAAUACCUUAUGUUCUGUCUGCCUCGCAUGGGGUGGGUGGGAAAGGCUUUGGCCGGAUUUGGGUAGGCUCGCGGUCUAUCAGCUUGUUGGUGGGGUGAUGGCUUACCAAGGCUUUGACGGGUAGCCGGCCUGAGAGGGUGGUCGGUCACAUUGGGACUGAGAUACGGCCCAGACUCCUGCGGGAGGCAGCAGUGGGGGAUAUUGCACAAUGGGCGAAAGCCUGAUGCAGCGACGCCGCGUGGGGGAUGAAGGCCUUCGGGUUGUAAACUUCUUUUGCUCUGAACAAGGCAUGCCAGUGGGUGUGUUGAGUGUAGGGGUUGAUUAGCGCCGGCUAACUACGUG